AGAAUAAUUAGUUAUUUUUACUUCUUUCAGCUGUGUAUUCUUAUUACAACCAAGGCAUUUUACCAGAGCAAGGCAUAGAAGAUUCAUUCAAAAAAGCAACACUGGGAAGAUAUGGGAGCUGUGGCCUUGAAAAUAUAUGCUUAUGGAAAAACUGGGAAAGUAUAGGUGAAGGUGAAGGACAAAAGGAAUGUUAUAAUCUAUGUAGCCAAUAUUUGACAACUAGUCAUAACAAACAUUUAACUGUGAAAGGAGACAAAGAAUAUAGAAUAUUUCAGAAGAAGCCUCAGUUUCUGUCAGCUGCUCCUACAGAACCAUGUAUUCCUAUGAAUAAAUAUCAACAUAAAUUUUUGAAAUCUGUCUUUUGUAAUAAAAAUCAGAUAAAUUUUAACCAUGACUCAAAUAUUAGUAAACAUCAUAGUACUCAUUUUCUAGAAAACUAUUACAAUUGUAAUGAAUGUGAAAAAGUAUUUUACCAAUCCUCAAAGCUUAUUUUCCCUGAAAAUAUCCAUAUUCAAGAAAAGCCUUACAACUCUAAUGAAUGUGGUGAAACUUCUGACCCAUUCUCAAAGCUUACUCAACAUCAAAGAAUUUAUAUUGGAGAGAGCUCACAAAGAUGUAAUAAAAAAUGUAUAAUAGUCUUUAGUCAAUCACAUCUAAAGGGACAUAAGAUAAUUAACACUGGAGAGAAAUCAGUGAAAUAUAAAGAACGUGGCAAAGCUUUUACCAGGGGCUUACAUCUUGGACAUCAGAAAAUUCAUACUGGAGAGAAACCUUACAAAUGUAAAAAAUGUGACAAAGCCUUUAACAAGAGUUCACACCUUGCUCAACAUCAGAGAAUCCAUACUGGAGAGAAGCCUUUCAAGUGUAAGGAAUGUGGCAAAGCUUUUAACAGAGGCUCAUACCUUACUCAACAUCAGAGAAUCCAUACUGGAGAGAGAGCUUUCAAAUGUGAAGAAUGUGGCAAAGCCUUUAACAGGGGGUCAUACCUUACUCAACACCAGAGAAUCCAUACUGGAGAGAAACCUUUCAGAUGUAAGGAAUGUGGCAAAGCCUUUAAUAGAAGCUCAUACGUUACUCAGCAUCAGAGAAUGCAUACUGGAGAGAAACCUUUCAAGUGUAAGGAAUGUGGCAAAGCUUUUAACAGAGCUUCACACCUUACUCAACAUCAGAGAAUCCAUACUGGAGAGAAACACUUCAAAUGUAAAGAAUGUGGCAAAGCCUUUAACAGGGGCUCACACCUUACUCGACAUCAAAGAAUCCAUACUGGAGAGAAGUCUUUCAAUUGUAAAGAAUGUGGCAAAGCUUUUAUCUGGGGCUCACACCUUACUCAACAUCAGAGAAUCCAUACUGGAGAGAAAUUCUUCAAAUGUAAAGAAUGUGGCAAAGCUUUUACCAGGAGCUCACACCUUACUCAACAUCAGAGAAUUCAUACUGGAGAGAAACCUUUCAAAUGUAAAGAAUGUGGCAAAGCUUUUAACAGACGCUCAACCCUUACUCAACAUCAAAUAAUUCAUACCAGGUAGAAACCCUGCAAGUGUAAAGAAUGUGCUAAAACCCUAAACUGGUGCUCACACCUUACUCAACAUUAGAAAAUCAAUACUGGAUAGAAAUCCCAUAUGUGUAAUGAUUUUUGAAACAUCAAAAUGAAGUCUAAAUAAAAAUCAGAAGUGUCACUUUAGAAAGAACUAAGGUGCUAGCACUUCCGUAAAUUACUCUGAAUCAGUGUGUUUAUUAUAACAAAUAAUUCAAACUCAAUUAGAUAAUUAAAUUGUAUGUUUAAAAAGAGUGACGACAUUGAUGGAGAGGCAUAAUUAUCUUCAAUGUUCACUUAUUUUUGUAAUCACAGUAUUCAUGAUUGAGAAAGUAUUAUUGAUGUAAUUAAAUUCAAAUUAACCUUUUUUUUCCCCACUGUGGUUGAUUAUUGCUGUCUCUGACAUGAGAGUCCCUUCUACGUUAGGUAGGCAUCAUUCACAUGUCUCAUUCACAUGUCAUCAUUCACAUGUCUCAUGACAUCAUUCACAAGUUUCCCAUGGAAGACUAAGAGCAUUGGCAUAUAGGAUGUAUGAUGAAAUCUAAAUGGAGUUGCUCUUUUUGUUUGACUUACAACACUGAAUAUAAGUCAUAUAUGAGUUAGGUGUUCAGAAUAUUAUUGUUCUGCAUUAAAGUGUGAGACAGAAACACUCUGAGUUUUAGAUAUGAAUAGUUUUACCAACUACCCAUUAAAAAGUCUUGCUAGUCCAUUAAUAUUCUAAUGUAUCUUCAUAGCAGCAAGUUAGAAGUCCUGAAUAUUACUGUGAUAACAAUAAAGAAAUCACAAAUAUCAGAGAGUGGUGCAAAUAACUUCUCUCUGGUAGAACAUAGAUUAUUAAUUCAAUCCUGUAAAUACUUAGGCUCAGUUUAAGAAAAGAGAGAACACAUUUUUUUAACAUAGGUCAUGGUAUCAGAAUAAGAAUGCUUUUUGAAUGUUUGCAGUCUGUAAUUUUGAUGAUUGAGGAAACUGGAUUUUGAAAUGCUUUAUUCAGUCUGUAAACUUAAUUUUUUUAAGAAUAAAAUGAAAUGUCUUUUAAUUUGUUAACACUGUUGCGUAUUGAAUAAUGUCUUAUCCUGACAAAAAUGUUAACUUAUUCCACCUUGCUCAAGAUUCCAGGUAGUAAAUGGUAAUGAUAUACUAUCGGGUAUGUCUAGUUCAUGCUGUCUUUAGCAUUUUUUUACCCUUAGUGGUAUUAAACUCCAAAUAGUUUGGAGAAUGUUGGUUCCAUAAGUUAUUACUUGUUACUCUAACAAGUUCCCCAAGGUGUGUUGAGUAGUUAAUUAGCCCUUAGCUAUUUUUGCCAAACAUUAGGUUAUUAAUUUAAAAUUGUUUGUUUUUAAUGUAGGUGUUUAUUGCUAUGAAUUUCUCUGAACAGUUUGCUGCAUCUCAUGUUUCGAUAUGUCAUAACUUCAUUUUCAUUUAUCUGAAAAUAUUUUCCAGUUUCAUUUUUUCUUUAACACAUUAAUUAGGAGUAUUUUUAAUUUCCAUAUAUUUGUGAGUUCCCCCCAUUUUCUGCAUUCAUUUAUUUUUAAUUUCCUUUUACUAAAGUCAGGGAAAAUACUUUGGAUUAUUUUGAUCCUGUUAAUUUUAUUGACGUUUGCCUGCUGUAUGGCCUAGCAUAUGGUCUAUCCUGGAGAAUGAUUUAUGUGUACUUCUAAUUUUGAGUGGAAAAUUCUAUAAAUUUGAGAAUUCUAUCAGUUCAUAUUUGUUUACAGUGUUCAAGUGUUAUGUUUUCCUGUUGAUCUUCCCACUUUUUCUGCCCAUUAUUUACAUUGGAGUAUAGAAGUUUCUAUACUUCUGAUAAACUCCAAAUAAUGGAUUUGAUUAUUUAAUCUAUUUAUAGCCUGUAAUAUUAUCAGUAUAGUUGAAUUUGCAUCAUUUUGCUUUCUAUUUUUAUGUCUCAUGUAUUUUUCUUUAUUCUUCCUUUGCUGCUUUCUUAUUACUUUCCAUGUAAUCUUUUAAUUUAUAUAAUUGUUCAUGUUUUUGAAGUUACUUCCUUGUUUUCUCUAGCCCUUAUAUACCUUAUCAGAAUCUGCUUUAUAUUUAUAUUAAUUCCAAUGAGAUAUAAAAUAUUACCACUAUAUAGCUUUUUUCCCCCAAUUUGGAUUGAAUUUUUAAAAUAUUGUCUUAAUUUAGUUUUAUUGUUUUAUUAAAAAAGCUAAACUUAACAAAAUUGGUUGUAUAUUAGUUUAGGUGAGGUUGUUUUGUAAUGAGAAAAUAAUUUACAACAUAUAGAGAAUAAAUUAUUAUUAUUUUAAAAAGUACUCUACAUUUUGUAUCCUUACCAUUUCCUUUGAUAGUUUAAAAUUGUAAUUCUCUAAAUAAGAGAUAUAUUCAUAAAUGUGACUUGUAAAUGUUGAAAUUUAUAUGUUUGCUUUUUCUGCAUUCAGUAAGGGUAGUAGUUUCCAGCAUCUGUGCCUCUUUAAAGUGAAAGACAGGGGCAGGCGUAGUGGCUAAUGCCUGUAAUCCCAGCACUUCGGGAGGCCCAGGUGGGCAGAUCACCUGAGGUCAGGAGUUCGAGACUAGCCUAGCCAACUUAGUAAAACCCUCUCUCUACCAAAAAUACAAAAAAUUAGCUGGGUGUGGUGGUGGGCUCCUGUAAUCCCAGCUACUUGGGAGGCUGAGACAGGAAAAUCACUUAAACCUGAGAGGUGGAGGUUGCAGUGAGCCAAGAUCAUGUCACUGCACUGCAUGCAGCCUGGGCAGCAGAGUGAGACUCCAUCUCUAAAUAAAUAAAUUCAGCCUGGGCAACAGGUGAGACUCCAUCUCUAAAUAAAUAAAUAAAUAAAUGAAUGAAUGAAUGAUAGGAUGGAAUUAAAAUAGUUUGAAAACACAAAUUAACAAAAUGGUGUUGACAAAGAUUGUUCAUUUGUGGUCUACCAGGGUAUAAAAUUCUCAAAACACAUAAUCAGUAGGAAACCUCUUUAUUCCUGAAUAUUAGAGAAUAUUAUAUGUCUUAAAAUUAUUCAUGUUGAAAAGCUCUGCCUUUCAUGCAUUUAGGAGAAAAAGUCAGAGGGCAGGAGGUUUAUGUAGACUCUGGUCUGUGCCUGAUUUGGGGAAUGGAAAGACUCGACAGAAGAGGCCAGGUCAGCCAAGCAGGGCUCUGUUGCGUGCAAGAUUAACUGCUGGUUUGUCUUUGCAGAGCUCCACGCAGAACAUCAUCAGAGAACUGAUGGACACUUCAUCUCCCUGGGUGAGGGGCAGGUGUACCAUGCUGUCAUGGCCAUUCCUGCCUCGAUUGGGGUGUGGGUGUAGAGAUGGUCUCUAUAACCAGGGCCCAGACAUGGCUGAGAAGGCCUUCUGCCAGGACUCCACCUUGAUGACUCACAGGACUUUGUGCCUUGGCUUUCCCUAUUGAGUGACCCACAGUUUUAAUCCAAGGGACCCUGAGUCUGUUUCCUUCCUUCAGCCCCACCAUUUCACCCCAGCACUGUUCAGGUGUAAAAUCGGCUUUCACAUAUUUGUAAGAAUAUCUGGGAAAAUUAUUUAUAUUUUACUUUCACUUCAUGUUAUGACCAUGAGUGUUUUUGCAUUUGCUAGGGCUCAUUGUUUUAAUUGGCCCCCCUUUAUCCCUCUGUGUGCGGAAAUAAAUCAGCCCUAAAUCUGGAUGAGACCUGCAGGUGGACUCCAUCAGUGCAGGCGUGGUGGGGCAGCAGGAGGAUCCCGUGGUGCCCACCUUCCAGAGCUGCCACCUCUUUUACCUCCUGAUCUUCCUUCCUGUGCACCUAGAGAGGGUUCACCCCCACCCAACAGCUCCUGGACCUGCUGCCCAAAAGGUAAGUGCUCCAUCCCUCCACAGCACAAGGGGGACUCAGCCACCUAUUAUCUGUGUCUUGGGAAAGUCCCUUCACAUUUGUGGGCUUCAGUUUGCUUCUUUGGAACUGGGGUUCUAAGAAGUCUAACAUGAUAUGAUUGUUUCAAGAACUAAAUGAGAUAAGCUAUGGAAAGUACUUCAGACUUGGCCUUGUAGAAAGCACUGCUGAGGGAAUAGAUUGGUUAUUCAUAUUAUAAAACUAUUUAAAACUCUAGAAAACUAUAGUAAGAUAUAAGAUUAUAAAAAUAUCAAAAUUAAGAUAUUGACAGUAAUAGAAUUAACCUACUCAUCUAUUUGCAUUUUACCAGAUUAAUUUUUUCUUAUGUGUGUGUGUUCUGUGCAAUUUUAUUACAUGUGUAGGUUCACCUACCAGAAGAUUAACUCGUUUUCCUCUUAUAACCACAUCCGCUUCCCUUCUCCCCACCAUACCUGCUCUGAUUCUGAUUCUUUGAAACCAUUAAUUUCUAUUUCUGCAAAUUUGUCAUUCCAAUAAUGUUAUAUAAAUGAAAUCAUAACCUGUGCAACCUUUUGUAAUUGGCCCUUUUCCUUCAGCAUAAUUCCUUGGAGAUUCAUCUAAAUUGGUUUAUGUUUUAGUUUGUUCCUUUUGUUAUUGCUGUGGGUUUUCAUGUGUGGAUGUUACCAUGAAAUACUGUGUGUAACCCUUCACUCUUUCAAGAACAUAUUUGUUGUUUUCAGUCAGUGUGUGGCUAUUAUGAAUAAAAGUGCUAUGUACAUUCAUGUACUAGGUUUCAUGUGAAUACAUGUUUUCAUUACUCUGGAAAAUAUGUCCAGGAUACAAUUCCUGGCUCAUAGGGUAGUUACAAGUUUAACUUUAAUAGAAACUAGCACUCUGUUAUCCAGAGUGACUAUCAUUUUACAUUCCCAUCAUCAAUGAAUUUCUGUUUUUUCAAAUCCUCUUAGCCAUACUGACUGAUAUGUAUUGAUAUCACAUUGUUUUAAUGUACAUUUUUCUAAAGGAUAAUAAUGUUGAACUUUAUUUAAUGUUCUCAUAUAACAUCUGCCUAUUAUCUCUGAUGAAAUGUUUAUUCAUGUCUGCAUGUUUUCUAAUUGUAUUUGUUUUCUUGCAAGUUUUGAGAGUUCUGUUUAUAUUCUGGUUACUAGCUCACAUAGGCAAUAAAUAAGUUUUUUUUCCACAAAG
rnacentral:sRNA from 1 species